rnacentral:lncRNA from 1 species
CACCACCAAGGAGGCUGGGCUGAGGAGGAGAACCCAGCCUUUCUAAAGCCAAGGCACACCAGAAUUGAGACUAUUUUGGUAGCACCCUGAGGGUGUUGUACGAGGCCCCUGGAGUGUAGAAGGACCCACUGAGGAUCCAGCAACCCUUGACAGAAUGGCCUAAGUUUAGAUAGGACCAGUGCUCUGUCGUGAAUGGAGUGAGAACCAAAACCUCCAGGGUUAAUGAGAGAGCUCAGAACACUGUAUGCAGAACCAUCACUGGGGUACUGGGCCUGGGUUCUUUAAGAAGGCAGGCUGAGAAAGUCAAGGGGAGUUGCCGAUAAAGACCAUCCCUUCAUGACCUCUGUUUCAGUUCCUGCCUUGAGUUCUUGCCCUGGCUUCUCUCAGUGGUGAAUGCAUCUGAACAGACUACGGCAGUAAGUUUCUUCUGCUAUUUUCACAUCAAAGACUUCCUAUAAAAGAGAGAUAAUGUAUCCUUUGGAGCCAGGUGACAGGUGCUGGUCUGGCAACCUUGAUUAAGCACCUCUGGAAUUAGGAGACCUGAGUUCUUGAGUAUAAAGGCGUCUGUGGGGUUGUCGUCAAACUCAAUCUUGACUAUCCAUGCUCUGAGAAUCUCAGUGUUUAUACUGACCAGCUUA